GGGGGAUAAGCUUCAUUGUCGAGAGGGAAACAGCCCAGACUACUAGAUAAGGCCCCUAAAUAUUUACUAAGUGAUUAAGGAUGUAAUAUUACAUAGACAACCAGGAGGUUAGCUUAGAAGCAGCGAUCCUUUAAAAAGUGCGUAAUAGCUUACUGGUCAAGUGAUUUUGCGCCGAAAAUGAAUGGGACUAAGUAAAUUGCCGAAGCUGUAGGAUAAUUUUUAUUAUCGGUAGAAGAGCGUUUUGUAUGAGUUUGAAGCAAUAACGUGAGUUUUUGUGGACUUAUCAAAAGUGAGAAUGUCGGCUUAAGUAACGAAAAUAUUGGUGGAAAUCCAAUACCCCGUAAACCUAAGGUUUCCUUUGCUAGGUUCGUCCACAAAGGGUUAGUCAGUUCCUAAUAUUAAGCUAAAUAGUUUAGUUGAUGGUAAACAGGUUAAUAUUCCUGUACUUAAGUUUGUUUAAUUAAGAAUGACGAAGAAGACUAUAUUUUCCAAAUUUUGGUUUUUGGUCUAAUUUUUCAAAGCUAUGAGAGGUAUUAAAAAAAAUAUUUUGAGCUGAGAAUUAGAAUGCGAUUCAGGUUACGAUCUGUUAAGUAAUUUAUGUCCAGCUUCCAAGAAAAGUUUUUGUAAUAUAUAACAAAUUAAAACUGUACCUGAAACCGACACAGGUAGGUUGGUAGAGUAUACUAAGGGGCGCGAGAUAACUCUCUCUAAGGAACUCGGCAAAAUAGCUCUGUAACUUCGGGAUAAAGAGUGCCUCAGAGAUGAGGUCGCAGUAGUCAGGUCUAUACGACUGUUUACCAAAAACACAGGUCUCUGUUAAGUUGUAAAACUAAAUAUGGGGGCUGACGCCUGCUCAGUGCCGGAAGGUUAAAAAAACUUGUUAGCGCAUGCGACGCUUGUUAUUGAAGCCCCGGUGAACAGCGGCCGUAACUAUAACGGUCCUAAGGUAGCGAAAUUCCUUGUCAGGUAAGUUCUGACCCGCACGAAAGGCGUAACGAUAUAGACACUGUCUCGGAGAGAGACUCGGUGAAAUAGAAUUGACUGUGAAGAUGCGGUCUACUUGCACUUGGACAGAAAGACCCUACGAAGCUUUACUGUAAGUUGAUAUUGUUUUUGGUUUUCCUUUGCGCAGCAUAGGUGGGAGGCUUAGAACUUAUUUUUAGGAAGAAAGGGAGCCAAAAUAUGAGAUACCACUCUUAGGAAAUUUGAAAUCUAAAGGUAUUUGAUAAAAAUUACUUGAAAGUGUCAGUUGGGCAGUUUUACUGGGGCGGUAGCCUCCUAAAAGGUAACGGAGGCGCACAAAGGUUUUCUCAGUCUAGAUGGAAAUUAGAUGUAGAGUGUAAAGAUAAAAGAAAGCUUGACUGUGAGACAUAUAGGUCGAGCAGGGACGAAAGUCGGUCUUAGUGAUCCAACAGUGCUGUGUGGAAUGGCUGUUGCACGCAAAUAAAAGUUACUCUAGGGAUAACAGGCUGAUCUCCUCCAAGAGUUCAUAUCGACGAGGAGGUUUGGCACCUCGAUGUCGGCUCAUCGCAACCUGGGGCAGUAGUAUGUCCCAAGGGUUGGGCUGUUCGCCCAUUAAAGCGGUACGUGAGCUGGGUUCAGAACGUCGAGAGACAGUUCGGUCCAUAUCCGGUGCAAGCGUUAGAGUAUUGAGGAUAGCUUUCCUUAGUACGAGAGGACCGGGAAAGAUACACCUCUGAUGUACCAGUUUUCGUGCCAACGGAAUACGCUGGGUAGUCAUGUGUAGAGUGGAUAACUGCUGAAAGCAUAA
rnacentral:rRNA from 1 species